rnacentral:rRNA from 1 species
AACUCUCAACAACGGAUAUCUUGKCUCCGGUAACGAUGAAGAACGCAGCGAAAUGCGAUACGUAGUGUGAAUUGCAGAAUUCCGUGAACCAUCGAAUCUUUGAACGCAAAUUGCGCUSGAGGCUUCGGCCAAGAGCAUKUCUGCUUCAGCGUCGG